rfam:Ovis aries breed Texel chromosome 12, whole genome shotgun sequence.
UUCCUGGUAGUCCAGUGGCUAAGACUCUGCAUUCUCAAUGCAGGUGGCCCAGGUUCGAUCCCUGGUUAGGGAA